rnacentral:rRNA from 1 species
GAUGAACGCUGGCGGCGUGCUUAACACAUGCAAGUCGAACGGAAAGGCCAGUGCUUGCACUGGUGCUCGAGUGGCGAACGGGUGAGUAACACGUGGGUGAUCUGCCCUGCACUUUGGGAUAAGCCUGGGAAACUGGGUCUAAUACCAGAUAGGACCAUGCUUUGGAUGGUGUGGUGGAAAGUUUUUUCGGUGUGGGAUGAGCUUGCGGCCUAUCAGCUUGUUGGUGGGGUAAUGGCCUACCAAGGCGUCGACGGGUAGCCGGCCUGAGAGGGUGUACGGCCACAUUGGGACUGAGAUACGGCCCAG